UAUGGGCCCAGUUUUCAAGUUGGUCCAAAUCAGGAUUCCAUAUCAAGUAUUGUGCAAUAGCAAGAAAUUUUCAAUUGCACAGUAUUGCACAAUAGCAAGAAAUAUCUAAUUGCACAAUAUUGUGCAAUAGCAAUUAGUUUUCAAUUGGAGUUAUCUUUCUUUGUAUAGAAUAGUAGUUGAUAAUAUAUGUUGGAAAUUUGCCAGACAUGACUAUGAUGUCAUUUUCUAUUUUUAUUUGCCAAUAACUUUAUGUAAA
rnacentral:lncRNA from 1 species